GACGAACGCUGGCGGCGUGCUUAACACAUGCAAGUCGAACGGAAAGGCCCUGCUUUUGUGGGGUGCUCGAGUGGCGAACGGGUGAGUAACACGUGAGUAACCUGCCCUUGACUUUGGGAUAACUUCAGGAAACUGGGGCUAAUACCGGAUAGGAGCUCCUGCUGCAUGGUGGGGGUUGGAAAGUUUCGGCGGUUGGGGAUGGACUCGCGGCUUAUCAGCUUGUUGGUGGAGUAGUGGCUUACCAAGGCUUUGACGGGUAGCCGGCCUGAGAGGGUGACCGGCCACAUUGGGACUGAGAUACGGCCCAGACUCCUACGGGAGGCAGCAGUGGGGAAUAUUGCACAAUGGGCGGAAGCCUGAUGCAGCAACGCCGCGUGCGGGAUGACGGCCUUCGGGCUGUAAACCGCUUUCGCCUGUGACGAAGCGUGAGUGACGGUAAUGGGUAAAGAAGCACCGGCUAACUACGUG
rnacentral:rRNA from 1 species